rnacentral:rRNA from 1 species
UACAGAGGUCUCAAGCGUUGUUCGGAUUCAUUGGGCGUAAAGGGCGCGUAGGCUGCGGGGCAAGUCGGGUGUGAAAUCUCAGAGCUCAACUCUGAAACUGCACUCGAUACUGCUUUGCUUGAGGACUGGAGAGGAGAUUGGAAUUCACGGUGUAGCAGUGAAAUGCGUAGAUAUCGUGAGGAAGACCAGUGGCGAAGGCGGAUCUCUGGACAGUUCCUGACGCUGAGGUGCGAAAGCGUGGGGAGCAAACAGG